AUUGAACGCUGGCGGCAUGCCUUACACAUGCAAGUCGAACGGCAGCACGGGUGCUUGCACCUGGUGGCGAGUGGCGAACGGGUGAGUAAUAUAUCGGAACGUACCUUAUUGUGGGGGAUAACGCAGCGAAAGCUGUGCUAAUACCGCAUAAUCCCUAAGGGGGAAAGCGGGGGACCGUAAGGCCUCGCGCAAUUAGAGCGGCCGAUACCUGAUUAGCUAGUUGGUGAGGUAAAGGCUCACCAAGGCAACGGUCAGUAGCUGGUCUGAGAGGACGAUCAGCCACACUGGGACUGAGACACGGCCCAGACUCCUACGGGAGGCAGCAGUGGGGAAUUUUGGACAAUGGGGGCAACCCUGAUCCAGCAAUGCCGCGUGAGUGAAGUAGGCCUUCGGGUUGUAAAGCUCUUUUGUCAGGGAAGAAACAGCAGCUCUAACACAGUUUGCGAAUGACGGUACCUGAAGAAUAAGCACCGGCUAACUACGUGCCAGCAGCCGCAGUAA
rnacentral:rRNA from 1 species